CUCCUACGGGAGGCAGCAGUGGGGAAUAUUGGACAAUGGGCGAAAGCCUGAUCCAGCAAUGCCGCGUGAGUGAUGAAGGCCCUCGGGUCGUAAAGCUCUUUUACCCGGGAUGAUAAUGACAGUACCGGGAGAAUAAGCUCCGGCUAACUCCGUGCCAGCAGCCGCGGUAAUACGGAGGGGGUUAGCGUUGUUCGGAAUUACUGGGCGUAAAGCGUACGUAGGCGGAUUAGUAAGUUAGAGGUGAAAUCCCACGGCUCAACCGUGGAACUGCCUUUAAAACUGCUAGUCUUGAGUUCGAGAGAGGUGAGUGGAAUUCCGAGUGUAGAGGUGAAAUUCGUAGAUAUUCGGAGGAACACCAGUGGCGAAGGCGGCUCACUGGCUCGAUACUGACGCUGAGGUACGAAAGUGUGGGGAGCAAACAGGAUUAGAUACCCUGGUAGUCCACACCGUAAACGAUGAAUGCCAGACGUCGGGUAGCAUGCUGCUCGGUGUCACACCUAACGGAUUAAGCAUUCCGCCUGGGGAGUACGGUCGCAAGAUUAAAACUCAAAGGAAUUGACGG
rnacentral:rRNA from 1 species